rnacentral:rRNA from 1 species
UACAGAGGGUGCGAGCGUUAAUCGGAUUUACUGGGCGUAAAGCGUGCGUAGGUGGUUUGAUAAGUCUGCUGUGAAAGCCCCGGGCUCAACCUGGGAACGGCAGUGGAUACUGGCAAGCUAGAGUGUGUCAGAGGAUGGUGGAAUUCCCGGUGUAGCGGUGAAAUGCGUAGAGAUCGGGAGGAACAUCAGUGGCGAAGGCGGCCAUCUGGGACAACACUGACGCUGAGGCACGAAAGCGUGGGGAGCAAACAGG